UGCCAGAUAAUUUCAUUUUAUUAAACUGUUUUUACUAUAUUAUGUUUCAAAACAAUUAGUAUGUUUGAUAAUGACCGAGAACACCGUGAAUAAUUUAAUACUAGCUUGUGAGACUAUCUUCAUUAAACCCUUCGGGUCAUCAGUAAAUCCUCCCCGGAAGUGUAACCAGAGUCUCCUGGAGGGAGAGCGUAGAAUUUGUGAAUAGAUCUAUUCGGGACUGACAAUCCCACACCUAAACUGCUAACUACAAUUAGGCAGGCACGCCUGGGGUGACAAAUUCUGGAUAUCGUCUGGCGCCUAAAGAACGUCAAGGAGGUCUCGUUGUCAUAUUAGCAUGGUUACCCGACUCACAAUACGUAUUAAUAUAAUUUUAUUCACGGAUUUUUAUAUCUAUCGUUGAUCUAUAGAUUUUAUAUCUAGUACGGGAUGGUAUUCCCAUGGUUUUUAUAUCUAGUACGGGAUGGUAAUCCCAUGGCUUUCAAUCUAUAGUUUUUGUGUAUUAAAACUACCUUAUAUCUAGUACGGGAUGGUAUUCCCAUGGUUUUCAAUCUAUAUUUUUUAUAUAUUAAAAAUAUCUACUAUUGUACCGGAUGGUAUUCCCAGUGGAUCAUUCAAUAUAUAGUUUUAUGUAUUAAACUAUACAUUGUUGUAUUUAACGGAAAUUCAGAACUUUAACUAAUCUGUCUUUAUAAGAAAAUAUGGGAUUUUCUUGGAUAACAACUUUUCAGAAAACCAAAGGAAACAUGUUCAUUUUCAGAAAACAAAACACUUAUAAACUCACCAGCUUUAUGCUGAUUUUUAAACUGCUUGUAUUCUCAGGUUCUCCUUAGACAGGUAUCCCGCGUUCUUUUGCAGAAGAUGGAGCGUAUGGAAGUCUCGUCACAUUUUUAUUAACUUAUGUAACUACAAAACUUGUAUUACUUUACUUUCAAACAAAUGUAAUGAAUCUAUGUAAUAUAAUGAUUUGCGUUUACUAUGCUUACUAUGUACAUUGGUUACGAUACUUCAUGACGUCCUCCGCCCCGGAACGUUUCCGCCAACAGUUUCAGGGUGUGACAGACUGGUAUCAGAGCCCUUGUUUAUAGUGAACUAGUAUACCAAACCUUACAUGGUAUAAGACUAUAAACACUAAGGGGCCUAAGUGAUAUGAACUAAAAGUAUACUUUAAAAUAUAAGUAUUUUCAAAAGUAUACAAGUAUACCUAACCGCCAGAAAUCUGUAACUACGAGUAGAACAAAACAUAAGUAAAUGGGUGUUGUACACUGCGGUUAAACCUGGGCAGUUAUGUAGUUGUGUCUAGGGUCAAUAUAGCAUGAUCAACUAUAUUCAUUCGAAACAUGACCAACAUGUGCUUGGGAGUGACUGUAGUAUACAGCAUGCCUAAAACUUACCCAAUACCCAAAACAACGAACCGUCGUCGCAACGAAACAUAAAAAUACUAUGGGAGUAUUUUAGCCAAAGCCGAGUACGUUGUAGAAAUUCAUUCCGAGUAUUGCUACUCGUUCCUUCUUUAGCGAUAGUUUAUCUGCUUUGAUAACUCUUCCUGCUUAUCGCUUAUGGAACCUUAUAUCUGUCAUAAAGAGAUAUUCCCUAUUUCAUAUCUCUUGAUACAAUUCAGAGGACUUACCAUCCUCUUUUUCCUAAUCAUUUUAGAUCAUCAUGCCUCCAAAGAAAGGACCCAACUCUAGGAACAACAACUCUCCGCCACCAUAUUCUCCUCCGUUCGACCCUGUAUUAUUUCAGACAGCUCUUACUGCCGCAGUGACGGCUACAAUGACGCUAUUGUACCCUAGCAGGUUUAGUGGACCAGGAAGUAACACCUAUCCUCAAAACCAUGAAGAUGAUCAGGAGUACCAUAAUGAGUGUAAUAAGAGUAAGAAGGUUAUCUGGAAAAAGCGAAAGGGUCAGAGUUCACAAGGACCCUCCAAGAGGCAUGAAUCAGUGGUAGUUCAAGCUACUACUACUCCUUCCGUUGCUCCUACAGCCCAAGCACCUACCACUAGGUAUGCUGGUACCCUCCCUUGGUGCAAUAAGUGCAGUUACCAUCAUCUCGCUUCCAGCCCAUUCCGUGAGAAGUUUUGCAAAAACUGUGGCCAAGAGGGUCACCUUGCGCGAAACUGUAGAACACCAACCCAAUCAACCAGUCAAGCUUCCGGAGCGGGUAUCAGUCAGGCCUGCUACGGUUGUGGUGAAAUCGGUCAUUUCAAGAGAAACUGCCCCAAGGCAGCAACAACUAGCAACGCUGAGAUAGCUCUGGCUAUAAAACAGGAGGAGGCAGCCGCCGACCCCACCGACGUCGUGUUACGUUUCUUCUCGAAAAUUCUUAUACCCGCGUCCUUUUUGAAUCCAGUGCCAAAGAAAUUUUAGUAAUCAUUCAUUCAAGCGUCUUCUUAAACAUAGUCCUCGUCUAGUAACCAAAUCAUUUACCGUCGAGAUAGCUAACGGUGAGAAGAAUACGUCAACGAUAGAUUCAUAGGCUGUACCCUCAUCCUGAACGAUCAUUCCUUUCCCAUCGACCUAAUGCCAAUUUCCAUAGAGAGCUUUGAUGUUAUCAUUGGCAUAGAUUGGUUGAGUUCCAAUCAUCCAGAUAUCCUUGUUACGAAAAAGCCAUCCCUCUUAAUCUCCCCUCUGGUCAGACUCUCAUAAAUCUACAGCGAUAGACUUAAUUCCAAUCUUAGUAUUAUAUUAUGCAUCAAAGCUCAAAGGCUUCUAUGAAAGGAGCGUCGCGCAUUCCUAGCUCAUGUAAUCAACGAGAAAACAAAUAGUUAAAGAUCUCGAGAGCAUCCCCGAAGUCUGCAACUUUCCUGAUGUCUUUCCCGAAGAGCUACCGGAAAUUCCUGCCGAACGUCAAGUCAAGUUUUGCAUCGAUCUAAUUCCUGGAGCUACCCUCGUAGUCAAGCCCCUGUAUCGAUUAGCGCCAACAGUAAUGCGGGAGUUAUCUAGUCAGUUUAAUGAGCUACUCAGCAAAGGAUUCAUCAGACCGAGUUCCUCACCCUGGGGAGCCUCGGUAUUGUUGUGAAGAAGAAAGAUGGAUCCUUUCAGAUAUGUAUAGACUACCACGAGUUGAACAAGUUGACCGUCAAAAACCGAUAUCCUAUUCCUCGAAUAGAUGACCUUUUCGACCAAUUUUAGGGAGCCAGUUACUUCUCGAAGAUAGACCUCAGAUCAGGGUACCAUUAGAUUUGAGUUCACGAGAAUGAUGUUUCCAAGACAACAUUCAGGACUCGAUAUGGACACUACGAGUUCGUAGUGAUACCCUUCGACCUAAUCACUUUACUUGGUCAUGUGGUAAGCAAGGAAGGCAUACACGUGGACCCAUCCAAAAUUCAAGGCGAUCGAGAAUUGGUCAGCACUGAAGGCACCCACAGAAAUCCGUCAAUUCUUGGGUCUCGCUGGCUACUAUCGCAGGUUCAUCCAAAAUUUUUCUAGAAUCGCCAAACCCUUAACUACUUUGACACAAAAAGACUUAAACAUAAGGCAACAACCGAUAAGUAGAGAUGCUCAGUGUUAUGAGUGUGAAAUCCGCUACCAUCCCGGCAAGGCCAAUGUGGUAGCAGAUACCCUGACCCGAAAAGAAGAGUUCAAGCCGCAAGAUGGAAAGACUCACAUGAACCUACAUCCAAGAGAUAGUCCGACUACACGGUGUACCUGCAUCUAUUAUCUAUGAACGAGAUAGCCGGUUUACCUCAAGGUUUUGGCAGUCCCUUCAGAAAGCUCUCAGAACUAAGUUGGACUUGAGAACGGCAUAUCAUCCUCAGACUAACGGACAGAGUAAGAGAAUUAUCCAGAUCCUAGAAGACAUACUAAGGACAUGUGUCAUCGAUUUCGGAAAAUUAUGGAACACCCAUUUACCCUUGACUGAAUCAUCAUAGACCUGCAUUAAGACUACCUCGUUCGAAGCCCUCUACGGUCGCAAGUACAAGAUCCCUUCUGUGCUGUACCGAGAUAGAGGACGCGCAACUAGUCAAGAGACCAUUUCCCUGACAGUGCCUUCUCUGGUACUUAAAAUCACCCAUGAAACGGCCGAGAAAAUCAUCCAGAUCCGAGAUCGACUGAGAAGCUUCACGAGACAGACAGAAGUGUACGCCGAUAAACUACGAAAACUCUUAGAAUUCUAGAUUGGAAACCAUGUCCUGUUGAAGGUCUUGCCCUGGAAAGACAUGGUAUGCUUUGGAAGCACGGAAAAAAAAAAACUUAACCCGAGAUACAUAGAACCUUUCGAAAUCCUAGCCAGGAUCCGUCCUGUAGCCCAUAAACCCCAACUACCUUUAGGACUUAGCUGCAUCCAUCCUGUAUUCUACGUCUCCAAUCUUAAGAAGCACCUAUCAGAUGAGACCCUAGUAACUCCUCUUUAUGAGAUCAAGAUCAACCGAAGUCUGAACUUCAUGGAAGAACCAACCGAAGCCAUAGAUCGAGAGAUUAGAUGUACGAAACAAAGCCGUAUCCUGAUAGUGAAAGUUCGUUGGAAUGCCUAGCAGGAACCCCAGUUCACUUGGGAGCACGAAGACUCGAUAAGACAAAUAUCCGCAUCUUUUCGAUUAUAUGAUUUGUAUCUUAAGUUUUGAAUUUCGGGACGAAAUUCCCUCUAACGGAGGGAUAAUGUUACAACCGAAAUUUAUUCCGUCAUGAUAUUCCAUUUCCGUUAGUAAAACCGUUCGUACUUCAAUUUUUCCGUUAACUUUCGGUUUAAAUUAAUUAAAGUGGGACUUUUAUUAUGACCUCAUGAGUAUCCAAACGCAUUAGAAACACAUGAAAACAUCCUAAAUUAUUAUUUAGAAAAUUUUUAGUUACGACUACGUCAGGUUACAACCAUUAAAUCAGGUAUGAUCAAAAGCCUCGUUUAACGUCAGUAUUGGGUAGAAUUCCAUCGGGCCAUAAACUCAACCCCUAUAUAAGGUAUUAAGUGACAUCAUUUUGAAGCUUUUUCUCUCUCUUAAAACACUUUCUCUCACUACUCUCUCUCUCUAAAAUCCGACUUUGAUCCAAAAUCAUCCAUUUCAAGCUCCAAUUUGGUAAGAAAUCUAUCCUAGCAUGUUUCUAAGUUUGUCUAACUUACAAAUCUAUGUUUAAAUCACCCAAAACACCCAAGAACUUGUUUUUACGGUCUAGGAACCCUCCCAAAACCGUGAACUCCUUUAAAUGGGGUUUUGAAGCCCCAAAACCCUUCCAAACCACCUCUAGUGCUUAGUUAUGACCUUUGAACUUGCAGGAAUGGACUUAGAGCACCAAAAUCUUACAAUUUAGGGGGUAAACUUGAGUUUAUGGACCAAGAACAUGCUUGGACCAUAAACCCUCAUUCAUAGACCAUAAACACCUUUUAAGGUGUUAAAUUUCCCCUUAAACACCUCCAAAAGCUUCUAUGAGCUUCCAUGAGUGCAUAGAACCUUAUAUUCCUUCAUGAGAUGCACCAAAACACACACACAAAUGAUUCACACUUGAGUUUAUGGCCCAAGAACAUUCUUGGACCGUAAACACCCCUUCUUAGACCAUAAACACCUCAAAAGGGUGUUAAAGUGCCCUUAACACCUUGUAUGGCUUAGAAUUGGGUCUAGAUCUUAGCAUGCCUAACCUACAACCACCAAAACACAUGAUUCAUGGACAAACCUGAGUUUACGGCCGUAAACUCAUGUGUUUAAGGUAGUAAACUCACCAAGAACGUCUUCUUAGACCGCAAACUCCUUUUCCAAGGUCAAUUCAAGUCCCGAUCACUUCCUAAGCCAUGGAAUCAACCCUAGAACCUUCCUUUGUGCAUUGUAAGACCAUUUAGCACCCAAGAACACACCACCCAUGAGUUUACGGCCGUAAACUCAUGGGGAUAUGGUCAUUGGACCGUAAACUCCCCUAAGGGCUUACUCUUGAAGAGUAAACUCCUUAUCUAGGCCCUACACACCCUUAGAUGCAACCCGGGUCACUCCAAACACUUGAAUUGAAGUGUUUUCGCAUCUAGAAGUGUUUAUUCUUAUUUAAUUAAUAGAUCAAGGUCUAAUUAGAUACAAUUUAUGUAUCUAUUCAUAUUACAUAGGAACCUCACGUGUUCUCAAUCCUCGAACUGACAGUUAGCAUCCAACCGGCACACUUCUCGACUGGUGAGUUCAUACCCCUACGCCUUUUUCGGUGUUUUUCAAUGUUUUCAGGGGGGAAUACAAGCAAAUUAUAAAUGUUUUCAAAACUUAAAACUGAUGUAAUUCUAUAAAUAUCUGGCUAACUUUUAGAUAUCUUUACCCCUUUUGUAUCAUGCAAAGCAUAAGGGAUGUUUUACUGAAUAUAACUAAGUAUAUUUCAAUUACAGUGUAAGAAACAAUCAAAACAAUCAAAUUAUUAUGAGAAUAAUUUGGGAUUUUCGGUUCUUGUUUUACGAGCAUAGAUUUAUGUAAAGUUAAUAGAUAAACUAUGUCUUCAGUUUAUCUCUAUUUAAUUUAGAGUAUUAUGCCAGAUAAUUUCAUUUUAUUAAACUGUUUUUACUGUAUUAUGUUUCAAAACAGUUUGUAUGUUUGAUAAUGACCGAGAACACCGUGAAUAAUUUAAUACUAGCUUGUGAGACUAUCUUCAUUAAACCCUUCGGGUCAUCAGUAAAUCCUCCCCGAAAAUGUAACUAGAGUCUCCUGGAGGGAGAGCGUAGAAUUUGUGAAUAGAUCUAUUCGAGACUGACAAUCCCACACCUAAACUGCUAGCUACAAUUAGGCAGGCACGCCUGGGGUGACAAAUUCUGGAUAUCGUCCGACGCCUAAAGAACGUCAAGGAGGUCUCGUUGUCAUAUUAGCAUGGUUACCCGACUCACAA
rnacentral:lncRNA from 1 species